UCAAUAUAAAUUGAUCAAUAAUUAUUUAUUAAUUGUUUUAUUAUUCAAUUUAAAGUAUUAAAAAUAAUUAUAUAGUGGAUUGUUUAAGUAUUUUAUAAAGAAAAAAUAACUUUAUAAUAGUGUAAUAGUAUUGUGAAAGAAAAUUGAAAAAAUUGAAAAAUUUUUGUUUUAAAAGAAAAAUUUAUUUUUUGUACCUUGUGUAUCAGGGUUUAUCAAAUUAAAUAUAUAAAUUAUAUAUUUCUCGAUUUCAAUAGAGAUAAUAAGUUAUAAAAGUUAAUGUGACAAAAUUAUUUUGAAUAAUUUAUUAGAAAUGAAAUGUUAUUCGUUUUUGAAGGUAUCUAGUUCCUUUAGAAAUAAAUUUAAUUUAGGAGUAUUUUAUAAAAUGUAUUAAUUAUUUAAUAUAUUUUAAAUUUAUUCUAAUAUUCUACGGGAUAAGCUGUGGAAUAAAUUAUUAAAAAUAAGUAAUUUAUUUAAUUAAAUAUAUGCUUAGAAUUAGCAAUUAUUAAUGAGUUUGUUUUAAAAUAUUUUAUAAAUAUAUUAUUUACUGAAUUUUAAUUUUUUAUAAAGGUUUUCAAUUUAAUAAAAUAUUUGAAGUAAUAAUGAUAAAAUUAGUAUAUAUUUAUGUAUAGAUAUUUUUAUAAGGAAAGUUUGUGUAAAGAAUUCGGCAAAUUUUUAUGCCCGCCUGUUUAACAAAAACAUGUCUUUUUGAAUAUAUUUAAAGUCUAGCCUGCCCACUGAUUUAUUAAAUGGCCGCAGUAUACUGACUGUGCAAAGGUAGCAUAAUCAUUAGUCUUUUAAUUGAAGGCUGGUAUGAAUGGUUGGACGAGGUAUAAACUGUUUCAUAUAAAUUUAUAAUAGAAUUUUAUUUUUUAGUCAAAAAGCUAAAAUUUAUUUAAAAGACGAGAAGACCCUAUAAAUCUUUAUAUUUAAUGUUUUUUUAAUUAUUUAGAAUUGGUUUAUUUUAAAAAUAUUAAAUAUUUCAUUGGGGUGAUGUUAAAAUUUAUUAAACUUUUAAUUUUUGUUUAACAUUGAUAUAUGAAUAAUUGAUCCAUUAUUAGUGAUUAUAAAUUUAAGUUACUUUAGGGAUAACAGCGUAAUCUUUUUGGAGAGUUCAUAUCGAUAAAAAGGUUUGCGACCUCGAUGUUGGAUUAAGAUAUAAUUUUAGGUGUAGCCGCUUAAAUUUUAAGUCUGGUCGACUUU
rnacentral:rRNA from 1 species